UACAGAGGUCUCGAGCGUUUGUUCGGAUUCAUUGGGCGUAAAGGGUGCGUAGGUGGCGUGGUAAGUCUGGUGUGAAAUCCCGGGGCUCAACCCCGGAACUGCACUGGAUACUGCCAUGCUUGAGUACUGGAGAGGAGAUUGGAAUUUACGGUGUAGCAGUGAAAUGCGUAGAUAUCGUAAGGAAGACCAGUGGCGAAGGCGAAUCUCUGGACAGUUACUGACACUGAGGCACGAAGGCCAGGGGAGCAAACAGG
rnacentral:rRNA from 1 species